CCCACGAAGGACCCGAAGGGUCGCGGCCCGAGGGGGAAUGAAAGAGGGCGGCCGGUGGGAACAGCUCCCCUGAGCUGCGGUGAGGAGGCCCCGGGGCGGGCCUCCAACCCCACCAGAGGCCCGAGAAGCGGGCCGCCCACGACGACCCACUGGGCGCCUUUCGGUGCCGUUCACAGAUGACUGCUUGGGCUCUUACAUGGUCUUUACCUCAAGAUUUAAGAGGAAGGAGAAACAUAAGUGAGGCUGACAUACGGUGAUUUCCUAAGCAAGACACUCUUCUAGAAGUAAAAUGUUGGAGGUGGGGAGCUUGUCCUUGAACUUUAAGCCUUCUACAAAGAAGACAGAAUCCGUGGCCAGUGGCAGAAGCAGUUAGUGACUUAUCUUUCUGGGACGAGUGGAGAAAAGAAUUUUCAGGAAUUCAUCCCCAAAAGUGACCAAAAGGACCUUUCUGGUAAGCCAUGAAGGAGGAGAUGUUAUUUGGAAUGUUGUUCCGCUUUGACCAACAAAGCCACAUGCUCCGAGUAUCAUUACACCUUUUAUUCUUCUUCAUCUUGGCCCCAUUUAAUGGAUUCAAUCUUUCAUGUUUGCUUGGUAACAUUGAGAAACUUAAUUCAUUAAAUAUAUAGAGUUCUUCAGCUGUGCAUGGUACUACGGUCUAUUUCAGAUUCGUGCAUUUCGGGGUCUGUAUCCAUCUUUCAGAAACCCUGGUGGUGUAGUAGUUAAGAGCUACAGAUGCUAACCAAAAGUCGGCAGUUCGAAUCCACCAGGCACU